rnacentral:rRNA from 1 species
CACGGAGGGUGCAAGCGUUAUCCGGAUUUACUGGGUUUAAAGGGUGCGUAGGUGGGCAGGUAAGUCAGUGGUGAAAUCUUCAAGCUUAACUUGGAAACUGCCAUUGAUACUAUUUGUCUUGAAUAUCCUGGAGGUAAGCGGAAUAUGUCAUGUAGCGGUGAAAUGCUUAGAUAUGACAUAGAACACCCAUUGCGAAGGCAGCUUACUACGGGAUUAUUGACACUGAGGCACGAAAGCGUGGGGAUCAAACAGG